rnacentral:rRNA from 1 species
AUGCACGCUGGCGGCGUGCCUAAUACCUGCAAGUCGAGCGAACAGACGAGGAGCUUGCUCCUCUGACGUUAGCGGCGGACGGGUGAGUAACACGUGGAUAACCUACCUAUAAGACUGGGAUAACUUCGGGAAACCGGAGCUAAUACCGGAUAAUAUAUUGAACCGCAUGGUUCAAUAGUGAAAGACGGUUUUGCUGUCACUUAUAGAUGGAUCCGCGCCGCAUUAGCUAGUUGGUAAGGUAACGGCUUACCAAGGCGACGAUGCGUAGCCGACCUGAGAGGGUGAUCGGCCACACUGGAACUGAGACACGGUCCAGACUCCUACGGGAGGCAGCAGUAGGGAAUCUUCCGCAAUGGACGAAAGCCUGACGGAGCAACGCCGCGUGAGUGAUGAAGGUCUUCGGAUCGUAAAACUCUGUUAUUAGGGAAGAACAAAUGUGUAAGUAACUAUGCACGUCUUGACGGUACCUAAUCAGAAAGCCACGGCUAACUACGUG